rnacentral:misc_RNA from 1 species
GAUGAAGAACGCAGCGAAAUGCGAUACGUAAUGUGAAUUGCAAAUUCAGUGAAUCAUCGAGUCUUUGAACGCACAUUGCGCCCCCUGGUAUUCCGGGGGGCAUGCCUGUCCGAGCGUCAUUGCUGCCCUCAAGCACGGCUUGUGUGUUGGGCCCCGUCCUCCGAUCCCGGGGGACGGGCCCGAAAGGCAGCGGCGGCACCGCGUCCGGUCCUCGAGCGUAUGGGGCUUUGUCACCCGCUCUGUAGGCCCGGCCGGCGCUUGCCGAUCAACCCAAAUUUUUAUCAGGUUGACCUCGGAUCAGGUAGGGAUACCCGCUGAACUUAAGCAUAUCAAUAAGCGGAGGA